AAUUCGCGGUGUGUCGGGCUUUCCAGCGUCGAUACUCUCCCCCUUUCUCCGCCCCCAGACUUUUCCCCUUCAUCUUCUCCCAACGUUUUACUUUUUCUCUGUUACCUUCUCAAUCAAUGAAGCUGUUAAAGCUAUUCUUUAAUGUUGUGAUCCAUCUCCCUUGAUACUUCUCUCUAAGUCUCUAUCUCUAAACCUAAAUCUAUCCUAAAUAAAAAAACUUUGACUAUUUCAUUUCUCCACUGGUUCGUUUCUGAUCGUGGAAGGAAACGGACACGGAUUCUACCAGUCUCUGGGUCUGAAUUACUCUUGGCACCUUGGAGCCGUAAUGUUGUUAUUGAUCAUUGAUUGACUUGGAUUCUGAAGAUGAGUUCUUGCGAAUGGAUUCAGAAACCAGAAAUAAGUAAUCGGAGCUUCUCGCCGUUUUACCACACAUAAGAAGAGUAUUGUAGAGAUUGAAUCGGUUGGUGUUGCUGGUAAAACUGUGAGCCGUGUUAAGAAUUAACACACUUCCGCCUAGAGUUUGUAGCCGAUGAUCAAGAACAUACGGAUGACGAUUAGGAUAUCAAGUCUUUAGAAGAUGGUUUUGUUUCUGUGACUCCACUGUCUCUACUUCCAAACAUAGAUUCAGAAACUCAAGCCGAAGCAUCAGAAUGGAUCGACAAAUACCUUAACGCUGAUCAAUGAAAAAGGGUGAUGUGGCCAAAACACUGCCAACAUCUGAAGUCUCGUGAUCAGAUCUCUUACCAAGAAGUAUCUGAAUGAUCCUUUUACAAUUGAUCUGGUUGGAGAUUCUGAUCAAAAGCUCGCAGAUGGAAUUACAAUGUAUUCUAUCAUGGCAGAUUCUUAUGGUAGGGCUUUAAUUAUUGGUCCUCUUCUGCUGUAUAGUCUAUACGGCUCUCCAUCAAUCUACAUAGGUUUAUGUGUGAGGAGUUACGAAAUAGGAUUUGAAAUGAAGCCAAAGAUUAUCUAUAAGAGUCGUCACCCAAGCAAUUGAAUCCAGCUUCUACACUCAUUGCUAGAACAAUACAAACCAGCUGCUCAGGGAUUUUGUAGAGAGUUACAUCAUGAAUGAUCUUCAUUAUUUGUUAAGUGUCUUCUCCCAGACACAAAAAAGAACACAAAAAAUGUAAAUGGUUUGUACUACACUUGGUUCUAUAUGUGAGCACCUUAUACUAGACAUUGUACAAUAAUGAUGAUACAUUAUCCA